rnacentral:tRNA from 1 species
GCGGACGUGGCUCAGUGGUAGAGCAUCACCUUGCCAAGGUGAGGGUCGC